ensembl:lncRNA
UCUCUCUCCAGGUGUGUGUGUUGUCUCUCCCAGGUGUGUGUGUUGUCUCUCUCCAGGUGUGUGUGUUGUCUCUCUCCAGGUGUGUGUGUUGUCUCUCUCCAAGUGUGUGUGUUGUCUCUCCAGGUAUGUGUGUGUGUUGUCUCUCUCCAGGUAUGUGUGUGUUGUCUCUCUCCAGGUAUGUGUGUGUGUUGUCUCUCUCCAGGUAUGUGUGUGUGUUGUCUCUCUCCAGGUAUGUGUGUGUGUUGUCUCUCUCCAGGUAUGUGUGUGUGUUGUCUCUCUCCAGGUAUGUGUGUGUGUUGUCUCUCCAGGUGUGUGUGUGUGUUGUCUCUCUCCAGGUAUGUGUGUGUGUUGUCU